rnacentral:rRNA from 1 species
CAAUAGCGUAUAUUUAAGUUGUUGCAGUUAAAAAGCUCGUAGUUGGAUUUCGGAUGGGACUUGCCGGUCCGUCGUUUCGAUGUGCACUGGCCAGUCCUAUCUUGUUGUCGGGGACUAGCUCCUGGGCUUCACUGUCCGGGACUAGGAGCUGACGAGGCUACUUUGAGUAAAUUAGAGUGUUCAAAGCAAGCCUACGCUCUGAAUACAUUAGCAUGGAAUAACACGAUAGGACUCUGGCUUAUCUUGUUGGUCUGUGAGACCAGAGUAAUGAUUAAGAGGGACAGUCGGGGGCAUUCGUAUUUCAUUGUCAGAGGUGAAAUUCUUGGAUUUAUGAAAGACGAACUUCUGCGAAAGCAUUUGUCAAGGAUGUUUUCAUUAA